UACGUAGGGGCAAGCGUUGUCCGGAAUUACUGGGCGUAAAGCGCACGCAGGCGGAAUUGUAAGUCCGUUGUAAAAUUCAGAGGCUCAACCUCUGUCUGUCGGCGGAUACUGCAAAUCUAGAGUAUGUGAGAGGGAAGUGGAAUUCCUGGUGUAGCGGUGAAAUGCGUAGAUAUCAGGAGGAACUCCGGUGGCGAAGGCGAUUUCCUGGCACAAGACUGACGCUCAUGUGCGAAAGCUAGGGUAGCGAACGGGAUUAGAUACCCG
rnacentral:rRNA from 1 species